GGGUUGUGAGGUUAAGCGACUAAGCGUACACGGUGGAUGCCUAGGCAGUCAGAGGCGAUGAAGGGCGUGCUAAUCUGCGAAAAGCGUCGGCAAGGUGAUAUGAACCGUUAUACCCGACGAUACCCGAAUGGGGAAACCCAGUGUGACUUGUCACACUAUCAUUAACUGAAUCCAUAGGUUAAUGAGGCGAACCGGGGGAACUGAAACAUCUCAGUACCCCGAGGAAAAGAAAUCAACCGAGAUUCCCCCAGUAGCGGCGAGCGAACGGGGAGGAGCCCAGAACCUGAAUCGGCUUGUGUGUCAGUGGAAGCGUCUGGAAAGGCGCACGGUACAGGGUGACAGUCCCGUACACGAAGAUGCACAGGUCGUGAGUUCGAUGAGUAGGGCGGGACACGUGGUAUCCUGUCUGAACAUGGGGGGACCAUCCUCCAAGGCUAAAUACUCCUGACUGACCGAUAGUGAACCAGUACCGUGAGGGAAAGGCGAAAAGAACCCCGGCGAGGGGAGUGAAAUAGAACCUGAAACCGUGUACGUACAAGCAGUGGGAGCACCUUUUAGGUGUGACUGCGUACCUUUUGUAUAAUGGGUCAGCGACUUAUAUUCUGUAGCAAGGUUAACCGAAUAGGGGAGCCGCAGGGAAACCGAGUCUUAACUGGGCGUCUAGUUGCAGGGUAUAGACCCGAAACCCGGUGAUCUAGCCAUGGGCAGGUUGAAGGUUGGGUAACACUAACUGGAGGACCGAACCGACUAAUGUUGAAAAAUUAGCGGAUGACUUGUGGCUGGGGGUGAAAGGCCAAUCAAACCGGGAGAUAGCUGGUUCUCCCCGAAAGCUAUUUAGGUAGCGCCUCGUGAACUCAUCUUCGGGGGUAGAGCACUGUUUCGGCUAGGGGGCCAUCCCGGCUUACCAACCCGAUGCAAACUGCGAAUACCGAAGAAUGUUAUCACGGGAGACACACGGCGGGUGCUAACGUCCGUCGUGAAGAGGGAAACAACCCAGACCGCCAGCUAAGGUCCCAAAGUCAUGGUUAAGUGGGAAACGAUGUGGGAAGGCCCAGACAGCCAGGAUGUUGGCUUAGAAGCAGCCAUCAUUUAAAGAAAGCGUAAUAGCUCACUGGUCGAGUCGGCCUGCGCGGAAGAUGUAACGGGGCUAAAACCAUGCACCGAAGCUGCGGCAGCGACACUAUGUGUUGUUGGGUAGGGGAGCGUUCUGUAAGCCGGUGAAGGUGGCCUGUGAGGGCUGCUGGAGGUAUCAGAAGUGCGAAUGCUGACAUAAGUAACGAUAAUGCGGGUGAAAAACCCGCACGCCGGAAGACCAAGGGUUCCUGUCCAACGUUAAUCGGGGCAGGGUGAGUCGACCCCUAAGGCGAGGCUGAAAAGCGUAGUCGAUGGGAAACAGGUUAAUAUUCCUGUACUUGGUGUUACUGCGAAGGGGGGACGGAGAAGGCUAUGUCAUCCGGGCGACGGUUGUCCCGGUUUAAGCGUGCAGGUGGGUGGACCAGGCAAAUCCGGUCUGCUGUCAACACUGAGGCGUGAUGACGAGGCACUACGGUGCUGAAGUGACAGAUGCCCUGCUUCCAGGAAAAGCCUCUAAGCAUCAGGUAACAUUGAAUCGUACCCCAAACCGACACAGGUGGUCAGGUAGAGAAUACUCAGGCGCUUGAGAGAACUCGGGUGAAGGAACUAGGCAAAAUGGUGCCGUAACUUCGGGAGAAGGCACGCUCCUGUUGGUGAAGUCCCUUGCGGAUGGAGCUGACGGGAGUCGCAGAUACCAGCUGGCUGCAACUGUUUAAUAAAAACACAGCACUGUGCAAACACGAAAGUGGACGUAUACGGUGUGACGCCUGCCCGGUGCCGGAAGGUUAAUUGAUGGGGUUAUCCGUAAGGAGAAGCUCUUGAUCGAAGCCCCGGUAAACGGCGGCCGUAACUAUAACGGUCCUAAGGUAGCGAAAUUCCUUGUCGGGUAAGUUCCGACCUGCACGAAUGGCGUAAUGAUGGCCAGGCUGUCUCCACCCGAGACUCAGUGAAAUUGAACUCGCUGUGAAGAUGCAGUGUACCCGCGGCAAGACGGAAAGACCCCGUGAACCUUUACUAUAGCUUGACACUGAACCUUGAGCCUUGAUGUGUAGGAUAGGUGGGAGGCUUUGAAGUGUGGACGCCAGUCUGCAUGGAGCCAACCUUGAAAUACCACCCUUUAAUGUUUGAUGUUCUAACCUGGGCCCGUCAUCCGGGCUGGGGACAGUGUCUGGUGGGUAGUUUGACUGGGGCGGUCUCCUCCCAAAGAGUAACGGAGGAGCACGAAGGUUAGCUAAUCCUGGUCGGACAUCAGGAGGUUAGUGCAAAGGCAUAAGCUAGCUUGACUGCGAGAGUGACGGCUCGAGCAGGUGCGAAAGCAGGUCUUAGUGAUCCGGUGGUUCUGAAUGGAAGGGCCAUCGCUCAACGGAUAAAAGGUACUCCGGGGAUAACAGGCUGAUACCGCCCAAGAGUUCAUAUCGACGGCGGUGUUUGGCACCUCGAUGUCGGCUCAUCACAUCCUGGGGCUGAAGUAGGUCCCAAGGGUAUGGCUGUUCGCCAUUUAAAGUGGUACGCGAGCUGGGUUUAGAACGUCGUGAGACAGUUCGGUCCCUAUCUGCCGUGGGCGUUGGAAGAUUGAGGGGGGUUGCUCCUAGUACGAGAGGACCGGAGUGAACGCACCGCUGGUGUUCGGGUUGUCAUGCCAAUGGCACUGCCCGGUAGCUACGUGCGGAAGAGAUAACCGCUGAAAGCAUCUAAGCGGGAAACUUGCCCCGAGAUGAGUCUUCCCUGGGAACUUGAUUCCCCGGAAGGGACGUUCGAGACGAGGACGUUGAUAGGCUGGGUGUGUAAGCGUAGUGAUACGUUGAGCUAACCAGUACUAAUGACCCGAGAGGCUUAACCUUACAACACCGAAGGUGUUU
rnacentral:rRNA from 1 species